UCUUGCGCAAUGCGCGAAAGCGUGACGCAGCAACGCCGCGUGGGGGAAGAAGGCCUUCGGGUUGUAAACCCCUUUCAGUUGGGACGAAGCUUCGCCGGUGAAUAGCCGGCUGGAGUGACGGUACCUUCACAAGAAGCCCCGGCUAACUACGUGCCAGCAGCCGCGGUAAUACGUAGGGACCAAGCGUUGUUCGGAUUUACUGGGCGUAAAGGGCGCGUAGGCGGCAUAUUAAGUCAGCUGUGAAAUCUCCGAGCUUAACUCGGAACUGUCAGCUGAUACUGAUGUGCUCGAGUGCAGAAGGGGCAAUCGGAAUUCUUGGUGUAGCGGUGAAAUGCGUAGAUAUCAAGAGGAACACCUGAGGUGAAGACGGGUUGCUGGGCUGACACUGACGCUGAAGCGCGAAAGCCAGGGGAGCAAAC
rnacentral:rRNA from 1 species